AACAGAGCGAGUGGGGUUCCCCUCGACUCGCGUCGGCUACGGCUGCAGAGGCGGCGGCCGUUCUCGACCGGCAUCGAAGUCUCCCAUUCCGCGCGCACUUCUCUCUCUCUCUCUCUCUUUCGGCCCUCGAUUGCGCCCCGCUUCCGCGACGCCCGCAAACUCCGCGCUACGACGUAUCGUACGAUACGAUACGAUACGAUACGUACGAUACGUCGUAGCGCAUGCACGGAGAUCGGGACCCAUUUUAUAUCUCUGUAGUAUACGACGAGUGGCAAUAUGGGCCCGACUUACCCACGCCACGGUGAUCAUCGUCAAAAGCGAGACCGCGCCGUACUCCUCGCUCGAGGGUGAAUCGUUUCUGGGCGGAGGUCGUGGCGCCCUGUGGUGGUGAGUGACGGGGGGAGGCCUCCUGGGGUGAGGCGGUGGAUGACUACCGUAGGAUGUAUCGUCUCCCUCUUCGCUACUCGGCGAAGGAGAAGGCGCCCGGUCGUCCUGCUCCUGAAGAAGGUGUCGGAACUCCUGGAUCGACUCGUUCAACGACCAUAACUGCGAUAGCAACGAGAGGUCCAACUGACGUAGGCCGAACUGUAAUAUUCAUAAUUAUCCGUCACACGAUAGUCGAACCUGACGAAGGAUGGAAGAAGAAAAAAAAAAAAAAAACUUUGUCGUUCGGAGAAGCCACGCCGAAGUUAAUAUCGUGAUAUGGAUUCGAAGAAGAGCGUCCCUUGUGCGACCGCAAGCCCCGAAAAAACCCCCCUAAAAAUCCGUCGUCAUACAAUUCUGCUGUGGGCGACAGUUUCACUGAUUGCCGUAUCGCGUAACGCACAGAAACGAAUGUACCUUUGAUCUAACAAAAUUGCAGCCCUCCUCGCGCGGGUUUCAUA